UUUAAUUUUGACAAGAGCUCUAAACUAUUUACUUAAAGUGAAUGUAACAUAAAUUAAGUGGGCUGAUAGUCAUGACCAUAAUAGAGAAAUUAUAAAACUAUAUGGGUUGUAACAAAAUUAAAUUAAAUUAUUGAGGCCAAAACAUAAAUAAACAUAUAGUUUGGUAAAUUUUCAAGCAGCCCUUGUUUUCCUUAAUAUCUUUCCAGCAUCGGCCACAAGCCUAGACACAUAGCUCCGCCCCUUACACAACACUCUUGUGUAUAAUUGAGUAAGCCAUAACAGUAAUAUCUAUAAAAUCUACGAACAAAAGUAUGCAUAGAAAUUGAUAAAAUUUUCAUUUUAACCCCUAAUUUGCCUGAAAUCUUUUCCAAUCUGACCUCAAGGCCCUACACAUAAUUUUGCCCCUACAUAUUACUCUAUGCGUAUGUGUCAAUUAAUUCAAUUAGUAAAAUCUAUAGGCUGGAUUGCUGGAACAUAUUAUCUGGCAACGUAAAUUAAAAAGAAAAUAAAAAAUAAAACAAAUAACACUUUGUGAUUUUGAUUUAUACCUUCGAGUUUGUUAUAGGGAAGACGUAACUCUUUAAGCUUGGUCAAAUUGCCGAUUUCUUUUGGUAUGGUACCCGAAAACCAAUUAUGACUGAGAACGAGUGUUUGCAGCGAAGAAAGGUUUCCAAGAUAGGAAGGGAUGGUGCCUGUAAGGCCAAGAUCAGGAAUGGUCAAGGAUGUGACUCUAUUGCCAUAGACAUCACAAGUGAUGCCCAUCCAGCUACAAACGGAAGUAUUUGAGGUCCAAUUUUGAGCCAAAAUAUUGCGGGGAUUAUCAUUGAUUAUAUGAGCUUUUACGGAAAGAAAUUAUAUGAGCUUUUACGGGGAUUAUCAUUGAUUAUAUGAGCUUUUACGGAAAGAAGAGCAUCUUGGUCUCUGGAUAUGUUUGCUGCAGCUGCCACAAUAACUGAGAAAAGAAUCAAAUAAGGGACAAAGAGAUCUGGAUCGCUUCUCCCCAUGUUAACUUUCCAAAGGACAAGCAACUGCUAAUUAAGUGCAAAUAAUGAUAUCCAAUAAUUUAUAACCAGCAGUUAAGUGGUAAUGCAUCUUUUUCAGUUUACAUUACCAGAGACCAAGGCUAGGACCAAGACUAAGUCAUCAGUUUUAAUAAAUGAUCAUCUUGUUUAGUCUAUUCCACCUCCGCUGGUUGUCUAUCAAAGGAUAAUAAAACUAUGAUGUGCCAAUCACAUUAUUAUUUUUAUUAAACACAAAUUGGUAUCUUACAAUUUAAUUUUACUAACUAUGAAAUGCAUCAUCCAAUAGAUGAGUGUCACAUAAUAUUAGAUUCAAGUUGAGACUCAAAUAACGUUAUAUUCAAGUUGAGACUCAAACAGUGAGAUCCCCAACAUUAUUUUUUAUUUUGUUAUUAUUAUUUUUUUACUAAUGUAUCAUAAUCUCACUCACUUACAAGGCCUAUGUUUUCCUAUUUAUAAAAUGAGUGAUGAUACAACCACAAAUUCUUGCACAAACUUAUUUUGUACAAACUGAUGUGUCAUUAAUUCACUGAUUGAAUAAAAAUAUAAAAUAAUAGAAAUAAAUUAUGUGGGCCAAGAAAUAUUUAAUUCAACAAAUUUUAUCAUGCCACAUUCACUUUGUAUAAAAUAAAUUUGUACAAUAGUUUGUGGUUAUAUCAUUACUCUUAUAAAAUUCAUACCUUGUAACCUUUAAAUCUCCAGAAUUCAAAUCUAACAGAUAGCUCAGCAUUGAGAUACUGCAAAAGAUAAGUCAAUUCACACAUCCUAGUCUUAUGUUUUAUUUAAUAUUACAUGAUAAAUCUAGUUACUUGUAGUUUCAACAUUACAUGAUAAACCGAGCUACUUGUAUUUACAAAUUAAAAAUCAAUUAAAAUCUCCUAAGUUAAUUCUUUAAUUUUGCAAAUUUAGAUAUCAAUGGACUCAACUCUCUUUUCAUAUGUAUGAAUAAGUAAAUAGUUUAAUAUUUUAACAUUAUAUAUAAUUCCUGAUUUAAAAUUUAUAUCCUUUUAAAUAUGACAUUGAUUACUAAUGACCAUAUGUGAGGUUGUCAUUGUUGUGCGUGUGUAUGUACAUAUAUAAUUUUUCUUUAAUAAAGACAUCCUUACUUUGUUAAAGAGAGUGCACAUUAAAAUAGAAAAAUACAGAUUUCAAUAUAUUGGAGACUUUUUUUUUUUCUUGUCUGUUAGUAUAUUAAAAUAUGUAUUUUUUUAUCUGUUAGUAGCAUCUUCACUUAAAGUAAGAUUGUCCUUGCUAAGUAAUUAUUUUAUAUAUAUCCUAAAUUUAUUAAAGUUCAAAAACGUUAUUAAGCCAUAAGCUAUUAAAAUAUAUAGUUUAAUAUUUUUUCUCGAAUUGUAAUAAAUUCUAAGAUCCUAAAUCAUAUCAAUACUCUCUCUUUCGUACAUAAAUGAUGCUCAAAUUUUAUUUAAACAAUUACUUGACGAAGCAAUAUAUGGGUGGACCUAAACGUCCUCGAGAAUAUUCUUUUUUAAUUAAAACAAAAGGAUCAUCCCACGCAUCAAAGAAAAUAAAAAAUAAAACAAAUAACACUUUGUGAUUUUGAUUUAUACCUUCGAGUUUGUUAUAGGGAAGACGUAACUCUUUAAGCUUGGUCAAAUUGCCGAUUUCUUUUGGUAUGGUACCCGAAAACCAAUUAUGACUGAGAACGAGUGUUUGCAGCGAAGAAAGGUUUCCAAGAUAGGAAGGGAUGGUGCCUGUAAGGCCAAGAUCAGGAAUGGUCAAGGAUGUGACUCUAUUGCCAUAGACAUCACAAGUGAUGCCCAUCCAGCUACAAACGGAAGUAUUUGAGGUCCAAUUUUGAGCCAAAAUAUUGCGGGGAUUAUCAUUGAUUAUAUGAGCUUUUACGGAAAGAAGAGCAUCUUGGUCUCUGGAUAUGUUUGCUGCAGCUG
rnacentral:lncRNA from 1 species